GAGGAACAUUGCGCAAUGGGGAAACCCUGACGCAGCAACGCCGCGUGGGUGAAGAAGGCCUUCGGGUCGUAAAGCCCUUUCGGACGGGACGAACGCUCCGCGGGGACAAGCCGCGGAGUCUGACGGUACCGUAGGAAUAAGUCCCGGCUAACUACGUGCCAGCAGCCGCGGUAAAACGUAGGGGACGAGCGUUAUCCGGAUUUACUGGGCGUAAAGCGCCCGUAGGCGGCUCUGUAAGUUGGACGUGAAAAGCUCCCGGCUUAACUGGGAGAGGCCGUUCAAAACUGUGGGGCUAGAGUGAGGCAGAGGAGCGCGGAAUUCCCGGUGUAGUGGUGGAAUGCGUAGAUAUCGGGAGGAACACCAGUGGCGAAAGCGGCGCUCUGGGCCUAAACUGACGCUGAGGGGCGAAAGCGUGGGGAGCGAACGGGAUUAGAUACCCCGGUAGUCCACGCCGUAAACGAUGGAGACUAGGUGUAGGCGGAUAGAACCCCGUCUGUGCCGAAGCCAACGCGUUAAGUCUCCCGCCUGGGGAGUACGGCCGCAAGGUUA
rnacentral:rRNA from 1 species